rnacentral:lncRNA from 10 species
CUCUAACCCUGUAGUCUGAGUAAAUCAACGACAGUAGGACAUGGGGAGGGGCAGAGAAGUCAAGCAGGGACGUUUGUGGGGAGGGAGGGGAAAGAGGCUUUGCCUGAGUAGCUCUUCUCACCCCAGCUGCAGUGAGUCUGAUUCAACUGAUGGGACGUCGGUGGUGGUUCUGCCUCCCCAGGUGAACUCAAAGUGGAGCAAAAGGUGACAGUCACGGCUUAGUAGACUCAUCGAACCCCUGCUGUAGGUGAGACUAUAAAGAUCAUCUAACCCAGCCACAUCAUCAUAGCUUCAUUCAACAAACAGUCAUCAAAGACCUGCGUUGGGUGCUGAGGAUGGAGUGAUGAACAAGUUUUCAUACCUUCCACACCACCACUCUCCAGAGAGAAAUGUGACAAUGAGCUUCAGCUCCAUCGAAUCCGGACUUCAUGGACCCUCUCUGGGUUGGCUUCUCAACCGACUUCAGAGUUGUGAGCUGAGAAAGAACAGCGGGAGAGAGGUACAGUUUUCCAGGGACUCCUGCCUUGCUGGGGGCUUCCACAGCCCCUGACCAACCAUCCUGAAGUCACUGCUGAGACAGCAGCCUGAACAAGGGCAAUGGGACCUCAGAGACAGCAUCGGUACUGUCAGAGCCCCAGGGCUUUCGACCCUUUGCUCCAGUGAGCUUAGAGCCAUAAUAUUAUCAUCCAGAAUGAUGAGAGAGUAAGUGGCAAACAUACCUAGACAUCUUCUGAGCCCAGCAGACAGAAUUUGGGUUUAAGGAGAACCUGGGUAGUUUAAUGACACAUGCUAUUUUUUUAAAUAUAGGCAUCAUACUCUAUGAAUUGUAAUGAUUCAUCCCAUCUCAAGAAGAUGGAAUUUUAGAUGUAUGUGGAUAUAUUUGAAGCCAACACUGUUUAUUUUGUGUAAUGUUUUUGUGCCUAUUAGUUUCUGAAUAUCUGUGCAUAAAAGCUUCUGUUUCUCUGCCUGCACACAUUUGUGGGUACACCCUAUACACCUAUGUGGGGUGGGAGGGGGGAAUGUGCAUAUUUGUUUGCAUUUACCUUGUGUUUGGUCUUAGGAAGAGAUCUUGGUGAUCAUUCUAGCCCAACUCUUUCACCUCACUGGUGAAGAAACUGAGGUCCAGAAAGGCAAAGGUGACUUGUCACAGAUCACACAGCUGGCUAUGGAGACAGAGAUGACACAAGAACCUAGGAUUUCUGAUUUGUAGAUGAGGACCUUUUCUAUAAUAUUAAAAUCAAUUAUAAAUUGCAGGGAGGGAAGCAGGGAGAUCCUUGUUUUUUCCUCCCCCAACCGAUAAGGAAGUACUAAGAAGGUCAAUCUUGAAUUAGCUAUAUAAUACCAAAAGUUAAGUUUUUCACACUGACCUGGUUCAGUAUUGAUUCCUUUUAUGAACACCCUAUUUAUACUCAAGUUGUCAAAGAAUUCCAGAGGGCAUAUGAAGCCUUUGUUAAAAUAAUUAUAUGCCUUUGUUUUUGAAGAAAAGUAUCCAAAAUAUAUAAGCUUAUUGUUUGAGUUAAACAAUAAAAACAUCUGCUGUUUCUCAUGAUGGCUCUAGUCUUAAUAUAACAUGGCAAAAUAAU